GGUACAGGAUCACAGUUAAAUGUUGCAGCAAAAUCUUUUUUUCCUGAAUUGCAUAAAGGAGUUCUUCAAGUGUGCAAAUUCUGUUUUGAAAUAUCUAAUGAUGAAAGUCUUGUUUAUAAUAUGUGUCAUGAUUAUGCCAAUCAUUCUCCUGUUCAAUUAGCACAUGUGGCACAAGAUCCUAAUUCAAGAAAGCUUUCUUUAAUCAGGCCACGACCUCUUUGUGCUAUUAAAGGAAAUUUUCAACACUGUGAUAAAAGAAGAUGUAAAGGAGAGGCAUGUAAACAUGCACACUCAGUACUGGAGUGUGAUGCAUGGAACUUUGACUUGAAAAAAG